GUGUCAGCAGCCGCGGUAAUACGAAGGGGGCUAGCGUUGCUCGGAAUGACUGGGCGUAAAGGGCGCGUAGGCGGGCUGUACAGUCAGAUGUGAAAUUCCCGGGCUCAACCUGGGGGCUGCAUUUGAUACGUAUGGUCUUGAGUGGGGAAGAGGGUCGUGGAAUUCCCAGUGUAGAGGUGAAAUUCGUAGAUAUUGGGAAGAACACCGGUGGCGAAGGCGGCGACCUGGUCCUUGACUGACGCUGAGGCGCGAAAGCGUGGGGAGCAAACAGGAUUAGAAACCCGUGUAGUCC
rnacentral:rRNA from 1 species